rnacentral:lncRNA from 1 species
AAAAAAACUUCAUGACACUCUCACACCAAGACUUGCUUCAGAGCACACACAAAAGAUAUAAAAGGAUUGAAAACAUACAGAACAACUUUGCAAUGUGCAGAUAUACAGCAGUACUCACCUCAAAUUACAGAAAGUCAUACAACAAGAUCCCUGCUGGUUCCAUGAUACACACAUUCCAUACACAGACACAGACACAUUCCAUACACACACACACAUUCCAUACACGUGCACACACACAUUCCAUACACACAGACACACAUUCCAUACACACAGACACAUAUUCGAUACAUUCCACACACACACACAUUCCAUACACACACAUUCCAUACACACACAUUCCAUACACACACAUUCCAUACACACACAUUCCAUACAUACACACACAUUCCACACACACACAUUCCAUACACAUACACACACAUUCCAUACACGCACACACACAUUCCAUACACACAAACAUUCCAUACACACACACAUUCCAUACACAUACACAGACACACAUUCCAUGCACACACACACAUUCCAUACACACACACAUUCCAUACACACACCUUCCAUAGCAACAGACACACGCUCCAUACACACACAUUGCAUACACAUACACACACAUUCCAUACACACACAUUCCAUACACAUGCACAGUUACCCAUUCCAUACACACACACAUUCCAUACACAGACACACACCAUACACACACACAGACACACAUUCCAUACACACACACAUUCUGUAUGCACACACACACAUUCCAUACCCACACACACACAUUCGAUACGCACAUAUAUUCCAUAUACACACACACAUUCCAUACACAGACACAUUCCAUACACACACAGACACAUUCCAUACACAUACACAGACACAUUCUGUACACACAGACACACAUUCCAUACACAGACACAUUCCAUACACACACAGACACAUUCCAUACACAUACACAGACACAUUCUGUACACACAGACACACAUUCCAUACACACACACAUUCAGACACAUUCCAUACUCACACACACACUUUCCAUACACAUACACAGACAUGCAUUCCAUACACACACACACAGUCCAUGCACACACACAAACACAUUCCAUACACAUACACACAUUCCACACACAUACACACACAGACAUUCCAUACACACACAGAGGCAUAUUCCAUACAUACACACACACACAUUCCAUACACACACACAUUCCAUACACACACAGACACAUUCCAUACACACACAGACUCAUUCCAUACACACACAGAGACACAUUCCAUUACACACACUCAGACACAUUCCACACACACACAUUCAUACACACACACAUUCCAUACACACACACAGAAUCAUUCCAUACACACACAGACACAUUCCAUACACACAGACACACAUUUGAUACACACACACAUUCCAUAUACACACACAUUCCAUACACACACAUUGCAUACCAACACACACACAUUCCAUACACAUACACAGACACACAUUCCAUACACACACAAACACAUUCCGUACACAUACUCAGACACACAUUCCAUACACACACACACAUUCCGUACACACACACAGUCACACAUUCCAUACACACACACAUUCCAUACGCACAAACACAUUCCAUACACACACACAUAUUCCAUAAACACAAACACAUUCCAUACACACACACAGACUAAUUCCAUACACAGAGACACAUUCCAUACACUUACGCAGACACAUUCCACACACACACACAUUCCAUGCACACACAUAGACUCAUUCCGUACACACACAUAGACACAUUCCAUACACACACAGACACAUUCCAUAUGCAUACGCAGGUAUGUCCCCAAAGAAAUAGAUUGUCUCCAUCAUAUGCACAUUAACCCAACGAAAUACUUUUGGAGCUCUGUAACACCCAAACUUGACUCACAACACACAUGAACACUGAACCACACAAAUGAAACCUACACUACCCAGACAUACCCAUUGUUUGAAGACUUGCUGCAAAAUACCCAGCCUUACGCCAUGAUAUACAGACUUGGCCCAUUGACCUAUACCUACCUUG